UCUGAUGUUGAUGCUCUUUUGCUCCAAGGAUCAUCACUGGGAUGGCAGUACCAUUUCCUUGUUGUCUGUGUUUUUCUAACAUAUGAAGAAUUUUUUUUCCUAGUAGAGUUUUACCACUUAUCGUAUGGAACUGUCUGUUUGCCUUUCUGAUUUCAAGAAUUACACAUGAGGAAAUAAUGGCAGAAUUGGAGUGCAGAAGAGAAUUGGUAUAGAUCCUGGUGUGUUUACAAUAAAAGCUUUUACACCAUCAACGAGAGAAGGGGCAAGAAAGCUAACAGAUCAGUGUCUUACCUGCAAAUACAGGGCAGGCAGAUUCGAAAAGGAGAGAAGAGAAACCUGGAGGAUGAGGAGUAUCAGUAUGGAGGAUUUAAAAUUAAGGAACUGUUUGCAACAUGUUGACGUCUCCCUGGAACAAAAACAAUAUGAGAGCCUGCAAUUAUAUUCUGAUUUUUAGAUGAUUGUAUGUAUAAAAAAGUUAAUUUUGAAUGUGCCUAAUUAAAAACUCUGUUAAUGAUACAGUUUGCAACCAAAAUUAAUAACUGUAGUUCAGUGGUAUUAUAAGCUUCUCAGGACUCCACAAUAAAAUUUUCCGAUUAGAAUUUGAGUUAUGGCUUUUUAUAAAUAAGACAAAAAGAAUUGAAGUUCAAAUUUCAGACAACAUAUUAACCCUGCAUAUUUUAUUAUAUUUUCCAUUAAAACAUAGCUCUUUUGCUUUACACAUGCAAAAUUUUAUAUUUGUGCAUUAAUA